AUUGAACGCUGGCGGCAUGCUUUACACAUGCAAGUCGAACGGUAACAGGCCGCAAGGUGCUGACGAGUGGCGAACGGGUGAGUAAUGCAUCGGAACGUGCCCAGUCGUGGGGGAUAACUACUCGAAAGAGUAGCUAAUACCGCAUACGAUCUAUGGAUGAAAGCGGGGGACCGUAAGGCCUCGCGCGAUUGGAGCGGCCGAUGUCAGAUUAGGUAGUUGGUGGGGUAAAGGCUCACCAAGCCAACGAUCUGUAGCUGGUCUGAGAGGACGACCAGCCACACUGGGACUGAGACACGGCCCAGACUCCUACGGGAGGCAGCAGUGGGGAAUCUUGGACAAUGGGCGCAAGCCUGAUCCAGCAAUGCGGCGUGCAGGAAGAAGGCCUUCGGGUCGUAAACUGCUCUUGUACGGAACGAAACGGCUCUGGUUAAUACCCGGGGCUAAUGACGGUAGCGUAAGAAUAAGCACCGGCUAACUACGUG
rnacentral:rRNA from 1 species